UAAAAUUAGUACCAUAGAGCCUAGUGUGUAGUAGGCUAUACCAUCCAGGUUUGUGUAAGUGCACUCUAUGAUGGUCACACAAGGAAGAAAUCGCCUGACAACACAUUUCUCAGUUAAUCUCCCCAUUGCUAAGAGA